GACAGAGGAGCCAAGCGUUGUCCGGAGUAACUGGGCGUAAAGCGCACGCAAGUGGUCGUGUGCGUGGGGUGUGAAAGCUCUGGGCUUAACUCAGAGAGGCCACCUCAUACGGCACGGCUCGAGCCCUGCAGAGGUCCACGGAAUUGCCGGUGUAGUGGUGAAAUGCGUAGAGAUCGGACAGGAACACCCAGGGGGAAACCAGUGGACUGGGCAGGCGCUGACACUCAUGUGCGAAAGCGUGGGGAGCGAACCGG
rnacentral:rRNA from 1 species